rnacentral:lncRNA from 1 species
UGCUUUUCAGGAGCAAAUGUCCCCAAGGCGUUACGUGCGUAGGUCUGCUCCGGUACCGCCUUCUGCGGAGCCCGAGCAGCCAAGAUCGGAGGAAGCGCAGGAGCUGCGGGAGCAGGUCGCUGCAAUGUUGGGCGCGAUGCAGCGCCAGGAGGCUCGAUUCGAGCAGCUCCAGGGAUUUGUGGAGCGGCAAGCGGCAGCAGCGGC